rnacentral:hammerhead_ribozyme from 1 species
AUCAAGCUGACGAAUCCUAAAAUGGGACGAAGUGCGCGUCCUUGAU